rnacentral:rRNA from 1 species
GAUGAACGCUGGCGGCGUGCCUAAUACAUGCAAGUCGAGCGAACGGACGAGAAGCUUGCUUCUCUGACGUUAGCGGCGGACGGGUGAGUAACACGUGGAUAACCUACCUAUAAGACUGGGAUAACUUCGGGAAACCGGAGCUAAUACCGGAUAAUAUUUUGAACCGCAUGGUUCAAUAGUGAAAGACGGUCUUGCUGUCACUUAUAGAUGGAUCCGCGCUGCAUUAGCUAGUUGGUAAGGUAACGGCUUACCAAGGCAACGAUGCAUAGCCUACCUGAGAGGGUGGUCGGCCACACUGGAACUGAGACACGGUCCAGACUCCUACGGGAGGCAGCAGUAGGGAAUCUUCCGCAAUGGGCGAAAGCCUGACGGAGCAACGCCGCGUGAGUGAUGAAGGUCUUCGGAUCGUAAAACUCUGUUAUUAGGGAAGAACAUAUGUGUAAGUAACUGUGCACAUCUUGACGGUACCUAAUCAGAAAGCCACGGCUAACUACGUG